AUUGAACGCUGGCGGCAGGCCUAACACAUGCAAGUCGAGCGGCAGCGGGAAAGUAGCUUGCUACUUUUGCCGGCGAGCGGCGGACGGGUGAGUAAUGCCUGGGGAUCUGCCCAGUCAAGGGGGAUAACUACUGGAAACGGUAGCUAAUACCGCAUACGCCCUACGGGGGAAAGCAGGGGACCUUCGGGCCUUGCGCGAUUGGAUGAACCCAGGUGGGAUUAGCUAGUUGGUGAGGUAAUGGCUCACCAAGGCGACGAUCCCUAGCUGGUCUGAGAGGAUGAUCAGCCACACUGGAACUGAGACACGGUCCAGACUCCUACGGGAGGCAGCAGUGGGGAAUAUUGCACAAUGGGGGAAACCCUGAUGCAGCCAUGCCGCGUGUGUGAAGAAGGCCUUCGGGUUGUAAAGCACUUUCAGCGAGGAGGAAAGGUUGGUAGCUAAUAACUGCCAGCUGUGACGUUACUCGCAGAAGAAGCACCGGCUAACUCCGUGCCAGCAGCCACAGUAAAAC
rnacentral:rRNA from 1 species